UUCCAGUUCACCGUCUUCUCCUCCUCAUCUCACAGCUUCAGAAUUGAGAGAGAAACGUUACCAAUACAGAUGCCGUAGAUACAAAGAAGCCCGGGUCAAGAUCCGUGCGUCGACGGCGAAUUGAGGUCGCAAUUGCAGGAAACCGCUGGAGCAUCAAGAAGAGUCUACAAAAGAUGACAUGGAAGCAUCAACGAAACCAGCAAAGCUACGGAAUCACAAUGCACAAGAACACCAAUAUUAACAGAGUUACGAUGUGAUAGUGAAACAUGUCACAUCCAAAGGUAUUCAUAUUUGGACAUUCUCUGGGGUUUCAUAAAGACACUAACUGAUCAUUUUGAAAAAAAUCACCACAAACUUAGUACGAUAGCGAAAAGUCCCAUCGCUGAAUUUAUUGACAGGUGGAUGUUUUCA